AUGCCUCUGGAUUGUACCAGAAGGGAGACAGGGACCACUGAUAAGACACGGUAUAUGGUAUCAGUCAGACUUGGCUUCUCUCUCUCCUGCUUCAUCGGAGGCUGGACUCUCCUCGUUCUUGGUUUCUCCGUUUUCUGCAGGUACACACACUCCAGAUCGGUUCUAGGAAGAGUGGGUCACUUCCUCCACUUGUUCCUUUUUAUCUGUUGUACUGUGCAGCACAGUGGGGAUUCACAUCUGCCUCCCAGCUUCACCGUGAGCUGUCAACGGCAGGGAUUGGAACCUGAUUUAUCGCCAUCCCUGGUGCCAGUGCAAGGCUGGUGCAUGGCCAGCCCAGGAAGUGCCUGAGGGGUAAAAGAGUUUGAUUCCCCUGGUGGGGGAGGGGCCCACGCAGGGAGUUUUCUGAGUGGAUCCCCAUCCUUGCCUUGAGGGUUAUUGUAUUCCCUCUCAAUCCUCUCAGGAAAGAGACAAGACUGCUCCUCUCUGGGCAAAGAGAAGACAUAAGAAAGGAAGGUUCUCCCUGCUUCUGCAGCCUCUCUCAGACUGAACCUACUCAGUGAGUGUCAUUGAUGGCUGGCUGUAGUCUCAGACCACCCGGCAUCUUCCCUUCUUCCCAUCUGAGGACCCUCCCUUCAGCAAUCAUUCCAGGCGGUUCCAGGGCAAACCCCUGUCCUCAGCUCCCAGCACUGGUCCCCCUGACCGGGGAAGAGAGCUCCUUUCUCUCCCCACCUGUCUGGUUCACUGUCUAAACCUGGCAACCAGGCCGGGCACCUGCCUGAGCCCCAAGACUACCUGGACGUGGGUGAAUGGAGGACAGCACCACAAGGAUGCUGUUGGAGCUCCUGGAUCUAUUUUUUGGAAUAGAAGAUUUCCUUUCUUUUCUUGCUUAAGUUGAUGUCUUAGCUCAGGUGCCAUAAUAAAAUAACCAGGUGAUUCA
rnacentral:lncRNA from 1 species